AAUUCAUAGCACGACUUUUUUUUUUUCUUUUGAAGCAGGGUCUCACUCUGUUGCCCAGCAGGCUGGAGUGCAGUGGUGAGAUCAUGGCUCACUGUAGCCUCAACUUCCCCAGGUUCACAUGAUCCUCCCACCUCAGCCUCCCUAGUAGCUGGGACUACAAGCAUGCACCAGCAUGCCCAGCUAAUUUUUUUGUAUUUUUUGUAGAGUUGGGGUUUUGCCAUGUUGCUCUGGCUGGUCUUGAACUGCUGGGCUCAAGUGAUCCUCCCACCUCGGCCUCCCAAAGUGCUGAAAUUAUAGGCAUGACCCACUGCACUCAGCCAUAGCACAACUCUUAAGAGAAAGAUUUCAGUCUAUCUACUGCCUGUCAUUUUUUGGUUUUUAAUUUAGUUAAUUCUCACAGCAGCUCUAGGUAGCAGGAAACUGUACAUUUAUCCCAGCACUUUGGGAGGACAAGGUGGACCACCUGAGGUCAGGAGUUUGAGACCAGCUUGGCCAACAUGGCAAAACCCUGUCUCUACUAAAAAUACAAAAAUUAGCCGGGCAUGGUGGUGCACGCCUGUAGUCCCAGCUGAGAUCGUGCCACUGCACUCAAGCCUGGGUGACAGAGUGAGACUCCGUCUCAAAAAAAAAGACAGGGAGGAAGCACGAGAGAGGUUCAGAGUAUUGGUGUUUCUCUAUAUCUUAAUCUGGGUCAAAUAUAUAGGUAUUUUUUUCCUUAUUUACAUUGAAGGACUGGAGUGAGUCAUAUUUAUACAGGUGCAUUUUUAUGAUUUUUCAUCAAACUAUAAUUUGUGCACUUUCAGUAUAUGUGAUAUACUUUAAUUUUUUACUGUAUGUAUUUGAGGUGU
rnacentral:lncRNA from 10 species